GAGUUUGAUCGUGGCUCAGGAUGAACGCUAGCGGCAGGCUUAACACAUGCAAGUCGAGGGGCAGCAGGGGUAGCAAUACCCGCUGGCGACCGGCAAACGGGUGCGGAACACGUACGCAAUCUACCUUAGUCUGGGGCAUAGCCCGGUGAAAACCGGAUUAACACCCCAUAGUAUCCUGGGAGGGCAUCCUUUUUGGAUUAAAAAUUUAUUGGAUUAAGAUGAGCGUGCGUCCCAUUAGCUAGUUGGUAGGGUAACGGCCUACCAAGGCGACGAUGGGUAGCUGGUGUGAGAGCACGACCAGCCACACGGGCACUGAGACACGGGCCCGACUCCUACGGGAGGCAGCAGUGAGGAAUAUUGGGCAAUGGACGCAAGUCUGACCCAGCCAUGCCGCGUGAAGGAUGAAGGCGUUCUGCGUUGUAAACUUCUUUUAUUAGGGAAGAAACCUUCUUUUUUCUAAAGGAGCCGACGGUACCUAACGAAUAAGCACCGGCUAACUCCGUGCCAGCCGCCGCAGUAAG
rnacentral:rRNA from 1 species